rnacentral:rRNA from 1 species
ACGGAGGGUGCAAGCGUUAUUCGGAAUUACUGGGCGUAAAGCGCGUGUAGGCGGUCCUGCAAGUCUGAUGUGAAAGCCCCGGGCUUAACCCGGGAAGUGCAUUGGAAACUGCAGGUCUUGAGGACUGGAGAGGAUGGUGGAAUUCCCGGUGUAGAGGUGAAAUUCGUAGAGAUCGGGAGGAACACCAGUGGCGAAGGCGGCCAACUGGACGGUAACUGACGCUGAGACGCGAAAGCGUGGGGAGCAAACAG